UUCUUUUCGUUUUCUGGCUGAUUAAACCAAACAAGGAGUUUAUCAACAAGCUCUUGGGGGUCACAAAAUUGUAGCAAGCCUGGGAAACGGGGCUCAUGCCAUGCUUCCAAAAGCAAUGCCCGUGCCAGUACUGCACAAGUGCCCGCUCUCCCCCCGCAUGCCACCUCUGGGUCAGGAAGCUGAUCGUCCAGCUACCAUCAACUGCACAGAAGACAGGGGUGUUCCUGGGCAGCCAGAACAUGACAAAUGUCCACCCGAGCCUCUUGCCCAGACUGUUCACCAAAAAGACACCCAGCCUCUUGCCAGUCCUGUGAACUCCUGGCAGAGAUGCCUAGACUGUAAAACCUCCCUGAGACCCUGACACACCACAUCGACCGAGGGGUGAGGUGCCCCCAUACCCAGGAUCAAGUGUCAUCUCCCGCUGGCAGGAGGCGUGAGGAGGACGGGUCUCUUGAGCAAUUGUCCUAAGCGUCCCCUGUCUUCCUCCUCCGUACACCGGGCUGGCAAUGCCCUUCCACAUGGCCCCGCCCACAGGUACGUUUCCACACACAUGGACUGGAGCUGAGUCUGCCUUCCUCAUCUCCUGUGAGUGACUGCUGUAUCCGUGGCCCCCAGGGGACCUCUCACCACUCACAGUCUGUCUCCCCUCCCAACUAAAUCUGGACAGGUCUUGGGACUUGCUUGACCAGGGGAACAUGGCAGAAAUGCGGCUGCACCAGUGUCUUCAGAGGCCUGGAAGCUUCACGCUCUCUUGGAACCCAGAGGCCAUCUGUGAGGAAGCCAGACCAUCCUCUGGGAGGGAAGGCCGUGUGCACAGCUGCGAGAGUGGUCCUGAGCAGUCAUGCAGCAGCCCACCCUAGGGAGCCCACAGAACCAGGAGAAAUGGUAAGUCAUGAGUGUCGAGGCGGCUUAUUCCUCAGUAAUAGGUAACUAAACCCUGCUCCAACAUCCCAGCCUUUUUCGCUAGGUCUCCUCCAGCGCUGGUGUUUCCCAAGCAGCUCUUUGCCAGGGGCGGGGUUGAGGGAGCAGCCAGUUGUAGCAUCUGCCCAUUUCUUGGUGUAAACAUUCCUGUCAUGGAUGACUUCAAGCCAGCCACAAGACAGGCAGAAACAUGGAAAUGAGAAGGAAUAUGGCCAUCCUCAUGGGGAGAUGGGGAGCAGGUCCGGUACCCUGCCGGGCUCUCCCUCCAGCACAGCCAGGCCUACACAGAACGAGGUCAGCGGCUCACGGACGGUGUGUAAGCUCCAGCAGGUAAUGUGGCAGUCACAAGCAUGGUUUUUGACCGUCACAGAGCUGUUCUGGGUGGAAAGAACUGAAUCUGGCUCCAAGCCCCAGAUCUCCGGAGCCUCUUCUCUCUUUUCUUCCUAUAAAGUGGUGGAGACGGGCUCCUCGGCUGCAGAACGGACGCAGUCUGCCUCGCACCCAUGAGAAGGCGGGAGGUGGUGGCCAGGCUCCAGGUGCAGGGCAGCCAGGGCAUUGUACUUAAGGCCAGAGCAAGAGACGAGGGGGUUCCAGGAGCCCCUCCAUCAGCUCAGCCCUGGGCUUCCUGAGGGAAUAUUGACCAGAGUCCUGUAUGGAACAGGAUGCCUACGUCCUGGGCCCGGAGGGAACAGUGCCCACACCAUCUGUGUGAAAUGGCUAGGGAUGUGGCUCAGGGGUUAAGUGCCCUGGGUUCAAUCUCUGGUACCAAAAAAACAAAAAAAACAAAACAAAACAAAAACAAACAAACAAAGUUUUUAUUUUGAGACAGGGUUUCACUAAGUUGCUGAGAGCCUCAUUAAGUUGCUGAGGCUGGCCUCAAACUUAUGAUCCUCCUGCCUCAGCCUCCCGAGUCACUGGGAUUACAGGCAUGUUCCACAAUGCCCAGCCGUAGAGCAUAUCUUACUUAUUAAAGGUGUUUGUAAAACACGGUGGCUGAAGAGCAUGGGAACAGCCUCCACUUUCUUAAUGAGUGUCCCCACCUUGUGCUGGGGUGGGGGGCCACCCUCUUUGUCACUUGCCAGCUGUUGCCCUUGGGGAAGUGCCAACAGAGACGGGUUGGAGUCCAGCCCCUCUGCCCUGCCCAGGCCUCAGGGACGGACACUGGGAAAUGAAAGCACUUUCACCUGGACACUUUGACAGUGGUGAGGGUCAGAAGGCCCAAGUCAUCUAAAGAAAAAAAAAAUGUUUGAAAACGAGGGGGAAGGGGUCUGCUCGUGCUGUUGGGGAGCCCAUGGCUGAGGGCCUGGCUGCAACCAGGGGCUUGAAGGAGCCAUUGGGCCACCAUCUCUGCUUCGCCCUCUGUUAUGCCACGGGUCUCUCCUGCUGCUGACAGACUCUCCCGGUGGCCAGACCUGUGGUCCUGGCGGGCAGGGACUCCCUCCAGCUCAUCACCCCUGCCAGUCCCAGCAGAAAUCCUUGGAGAAAGCUGGGCAUGGUGGUGCACACCUGUGAUCCCACUGACUCUGGAGGCUAAGGCAGGAGGAUGAGAGCAAAUUCAAGGCCAGCCUCAGCAAUUUAGUGAGACCAUAUUUUAAAAUAAAAAUUAAAAAGGACCAGGGGUGUUCCUCAUUGGUAGAGUGCCCCUGAGUUCAAUAAUCCCCAGUACCACUGGGGGUGGGAGUGGGGGACAGAAGUCCCAGAGUCUGGUUUCUGGCCAGGUCUGCCCUCAACCACUCACUGUGCCAGGAGGGAAGAAUUAUGUCUGUCUGGCUUGGGCCACCUGGUGGGAGGAGGGCCCAGUGGGGCCAGUCCUGGGCGUCCGCUGAGCCUUUCUGCGCUCAGGUAAAUUAGUGGACACAGACAGAUACCUGGGGAAGAGCCUGGAGCAGCUUCCCUGCGGCCUCCUAAUCCCCCAGCUCCAAGCCUGGGCCCACCAGCGGCUCCCCUGGUGUGUGGGUUUGUGUAUAAGACCUUCUUUUCAGGCAUCCAUGGAAUUUGAAGGACGUGCACACAGAUCCAGAGGUGGAGGCUCCUGGGUUAGGCAGAGUGCGAAGGUGGUCUGAGGCCCUGACUAAGCUCCUCCCUUGUGAGGGUUGGGGGGACCUGUGACUCGCCUCUAGCCAAUGGGGCAUGCUAAAUGUGAUGUCACUCCCCCAAUCGGCUUAGGCUCUUCCUAGGGCCCUGAAGAGUGCUUCCCUGUCGUGCUGCCCACAGACAGGACCACGUGGAGGCUGCAGGCCAGCUUCAGGACCCAAGGGUGGCUCCAGCCCACGGCCGCCAGGAGAGGACAAAUUUCUUCCUAAAGGCCAGGGUGAGAGCGCAGCCCACCGACAGCUCUGCCCCAGCUGGAGACCCAGCUAGGCGGGUCCAGACCCCCACCCCAGGAGCAGAGAGAUGGCAGAUGUGUGUUGUUUUAAGCCACUUCAUUUCAGCUGAGAAAACUAGGGCAGCCCCAUUUUUCCUGGUGGAAGUCACUGCAGGAGCCCCCAGACUGUCUCCCAGGCUCAGCUUUGCGCCUGCUGGCCAGAUGCGCAUGCGUGGUGGGAGGAUGGCCCCAGACUGCACGGGAAUGGCACAUUCCCCUUCUUAAGUCCCAGCAAGGCCUCCUCUUGGUCUCCAACGGCCAGUUGUCACCUGAGGACUGUUGGGGUCAUUCCCGUCAUGCUCCAGGCCUCCUGAUCACCCAUUCUUGUCCACGUCUCUUCUCCCCAAGGCCUCCCCCACGAACACCCCCUCAGCCUUUCUUUCCCUCUCCCCUUCAAUGCUCAGCUCAAGCCUGCCUGGGAGGCGGGGUCUGACCCCAGGGCUCCUGUUUGCCUCGGGUGCCCCCUGCUCCUUGCAGCUCCUUUGGCCUGGAUCCCACCUGCACUCUGGGUGGUGCAUUGAGAGGGCAGCAAGGGUGCAGGACAAGCUCAGGGCUGGCCCUCAGCAAGGGCCUGUUGAAAUGAAUUAAUGAGGACCACGUCUACUUUCUGGAUGGGGUAGGGUCAUUUUGCCUUCCGUACCCCUGAAGGAGGAGUGGGAACCCCCAUGAACGGGACCAUUUGGGGACAAAUGCUCUCAAAGCCCACUCCCAGUCGACCUGAGGGCACCGGGAGUCCACCUGGCACUUGGAUGCAGAGGCUGGGGAAGCCCACCCAGGCUGUUUGAGCUGCUCCUCGGCCACCUCUUUCCCACCACAUAGCACACAUCCUCUCAUCCCAGGAGGGGAAGUGGAGGCUGGCCAGAGAGGAGCCUGUCUCUGCAGGUCACCCACUCCCCAUCUCCCCCCGCCGCCUGCUGUGGUCUACUAGGGCAGUUGACCUGGGUGUGCCCUCUGCAGGGGAAGUCCAGCCCUUCCAGUGGCCAGGGAGGGACUUUCUCAGAGCAAGAGCAAAACAAAGCCCUCAGGGAGCCCCUGUGUGACACAGAGCUCCCAGCACCGGCUUCCCACCUGUCCCCUCCCAGAGGAACCUGCCAGCCAACAGCCCUCCCUUCCCGACUCCCGUGCUCUGUGAACUGGAGCCAGGAAACCAGAGGGAUGGGAAUUGAAUGGUCUCCAACCCCUGCUCCCAAACAACUGAGCCGGAAAGUCUGACCACGCAUCUAAAAGGCAGUUCUCAUCAUAGGACGGUUUGCUCUCAAGGGACAUCCUGGGACCACCCCAGCUGAAGUGGCUGCCAGCCUCGGGUGGGAAAUGGGUGCUAUCUCAUUCACCAGGGAUCCUGAGGUGCCUCCACCUGCCCCAGAGGGUAGAGCACUUGCCUAGCUUAUGCAAGGGUUCAAUCCCCAGCACUCAAAAAAAAAAAAAUUCAGUGAAGCAGAGGCAAAGUGUGUGUGUGUCCCAAUGUGUGGCACACCCUGUGGGACAGACAGUGGUCAACACGGUAGCUCUGUGCUUAUCUUCAUCAGUGCGUCUUAAUAAGCUCCUAUUUCCCAGUGCUAAGAAUGGUGUUUUGGGAGUCUGUGGCACGAAUUUAGAGCAUGUUAUUAAUCAAGUCCCAAAUGUAUAAGGGACCAACUUCACUGGCAAAUUCUUCCUUUAUACAUCUUUUUUGAGCAAAAAAUGUCUGUCUGCACAGGGUCCUGGCCCACCUGGUGCUCUCGUGUUGUGGUGCAGUUAGCUGGGGCUCCACCGAGGGGCCCUCACUCAGGUGUCUGUGGGAACAGCCCAGCAGCCCUGGUGCCCUGCCACAUCUGUGCAAGCACCAGAGUGUCCUCAGAUCUGGGGUCAGGCCUGGGAUCAACAAAACUGGGGUCAGGGGUUCCAGCCUGGAGCAGAGCCAGGCUGACCACUGGCCCCCAUGUCGGCAGUCCUAACAGCCCUGGCCACUCGGAACACCCUGUGCAUCCCUGAGGGUCAGCCUCACACGGAGCAGCCGGUGAGCCACGGUUGAGGCUGUUUCUACCAGGUGACCUCUGUGAGGCAGGAGCAGCCCAAUCAUGCCUUGAGCAGCUGCCCACUGUCCCCAGAUCUCCCUCCAGCCCAGCUUGUCCUCCCCACUCCCUGUGCCCAGGACUGCUGCCACUCCUCUAAGACUCACCCCCUGCUGCCUUUUUGGGUGUCUGGCUGGAUGCAUGGGGUGCACAUCCUUCCAGCCCCCGACUUCCACGUGCUGAUCCCAGAGACCUGGACGUGGUGAAGACAAAUGUCAGCAGNGCUCCUGGGUUAGGCAGAGUGCGAAGGUGGUCUGAGGCCCUGACUAAGCUCCUCCCUUGUGAGGGUUGGGGGGACCUGUGACUCGCCUCUAGCCAAUGGGGCAUGCUAAAUGUGAUGUCACUCCCCCAAUCGGCUUAGGCUCUUCCUAGGGCCCUGAAGAGUGCUUCCCUGUCGUGCUGCCCACAGACAGGACCACGUGGAGGCUGCAGGCCAGCUUCAGGACCCAAGGGUGGCUCCAGCCCACGGCCGCCAGGAGAGGACAAAUUUCUUCCUAAAGGCCAGGGUGAGAGCGCAGCCCACCGACAGCUCUGCCCCAGCUGGAGACCCAGCUAGGCGGGUCCAGACCCCCACCCCAGGAGCAGAGAGAUGGCAGAUGUGUGUUGUUUUAAGCCACUUCAUUUCAGCUGAGAAAACUAGGGCAGCCCCAUUUUUCCUGGUGGAAGUCACUGCAGGAGCCCCCAGACUGUCUCCCAGGCUCAGCUUUGCGCCUGCUGGCCAGAUGCGCAUGCGUGGUGGGAGGAUGGCCCCAGACUGCACGGGAAUGGCACAUUCCCCUUCUUAAGUCCCAGCAAGGCCUCCUCUUGGUCUCCAACGGCCAGUUGUCACCUGAGGACUGUUGGGGUCAUUCCCGUCAUGCUCCAGGCCUCCUGAUCACCCAUUCUUGUCCACGUCUCUUCUCCCCAAGGCCUCCCCCACGAACACCCCCUCAGCCUUUCUUUCCCUCUCCCCUUCAAUGCUCAGCUCAAGCCUGCCUGGGAGGCGGGGUCUGACCCCAGGGCUCCUGUUUGCCUCGGGUGCCCCCUGCUCCUUGCAGCUCCUUUGGCCUGGAUCCCACCUGCACUCUGGGUGGUGCAUUGAGAGGGCAGCAAGGGUGCAGGACAAGCUCAGGGCUGGCCCUCAGCAAGGGCCUGUUGAAAUGAAUUAAUGAGGACCACGUCUACUUUCUGGAUGGGGUAGGGUCAUUUUGCCUUCCGUACCCCUGAAGGAGGAGUGGGAACCCCCAUGAACGGGACCAUUUGGGGACAAAUGCUCUCAAAGCCCACUCCCAGUCGACCUGAGGGCACCGGGAGUCCACCUGGCACUUGGAUGCAGAGGCUGGGGAAGCCCACCCAGGCUGUUUGAGCUGCUCCUCGGCCACCUCUUUCCCACCACAUAGCACACAUCCUCUCAUCCCAGGAGGGGAAGUGGAGGCUGGCCAGAGAGGAGCCUGUCUCUGCAGGUCACCCACUCCCCAUCUCCCCCCGCCGCCUGCUGUGGUCUACUAGGGCAGUUGACCUGGGUGUGCCCUCUGCAGGGGAAGUCCAGCCCUUCCAGUGGCCAGGGAGGGACUUUCUCAGAGCAAGAGCAAAACAAAGCCCUCAGGGAGCCCCUGUGUGACACAGAGCUCCCAGCACCGGCUUCCCACCUGUCCCCUCCCAGAGGAACCUGCCAGCCAACAGCCCUCCCUUCCCGACUCCCGUGCUCUGUGAACUGGAGCCAGGAAACCAGAGGGAUGGGAAUUGAAUGGUCUCCAACCCCUGCUCCCAAACAACUGAGCCGGAAAGUCUGACCACGCAUCUAAAAGGCAGUUCUCAUCAUAGGACGGUUUGCUCUCAAGGGACAUCCUGGGACCACCCCAGCUGAAGUGGCUGCCAGCCUCGGGUGGGAAAUGGGUGCUAUCUCAUUCACCAGGGAUCCUGAGGUGCCUCCACCUGCCCCAGAGGGUAGAGCACUUGCCUAGCUUAUGCAAGGGUUCAAUCCCCAGCACUCAAAAAAAAAAAAAUUCAGUGAAGCAGAGGCAAAGUGUGUGUGUGUCCCAAUGUGUGGCACACCCUGUGGGACAGACAGUGGUCAACACGGUAGCUCUGUGCUUAUCUUCAUCAGUGCGUCUUAAUAAGCUCCUAUUUCCCAGUGCUAAGAAUGGUGUUUUGGGAGUCUGUGGCACGAAUUUAGAGCAUGUUAUUAAUCAAGUCCCAAAUGUAUAAGGGACCAACUUCACUGGCAAAUUCUUCCUUUAUACAUCUUUUUUGAGCAAAAAAUGUCUGUCUGCACAGGGUCCUGGCCCACCUGGUGCUCUCGUGUUGUGGUGCAGUUAGCUGGGGCUCCACCGAGGGGCCCUCACUCAGGUGUCUGUGGGAACAGCCCAGCAGCCCUGGUGCCCUGCCACAUCUGUGCAAGCACCAGAGUGUCCUCAGAUCUGGGGUCAGGCCUGGGAUCAACAAAACUGGGGUCAGGGGUUCCAGCCUGGAGCAGAGCCAGGCUGACCACUGGCCCCCAUGUCGGCAGUCCUAACAGCCCUGGCCACUCGGAACACCCUGUGCAUCCCUGAGGGUCAGCCUCACACGGAGCAGCCGGUGAGCCACGGUUGAGGCUGUUUCUACCAGGUGACCUCUGUGAGGCAGGAGCAGCCCAAUCAUGCCUUGAGCAGCUGCCCACUGUCCCCAGAUCUCCCUCCAGCCCAGCUUGUCCUCCCCACUCCCUGUGCCCAGGACUGCUGCCACUCCUCUAAGACUCACCCCCUGCUGCCUUUUUGGGUGUCUGGCUGGAUGCAUGGGGUGCACAUCCUUCCAGCCCCCGACUUCCACGUGCUGAUCCCAGAGACCUGGACGUGGUGAAGACAAAUGUCAGCAGUCAGGUAUGUGCAGCUCCAAAGCUCUUCCUGUCACCCUACGCAGCCAUGGAGAGUGCCCAUGGAAUUGGGCUUUUAGGGCCAUGCCUGCUUCUGUAGGUUAUCCCAGAAGACCCAGGCUGAGCUCAGGAGGCCUGGCCCCCACUGCCAGCAGGAUGACGGGCCUACCCAGCCUCUCCGCCUCUUCCUCUGCUUACCUGUGGAGAUAACGGCCUCUUCCUGGGUAAUCAUGAGG
rnacentral:lncRNA from 1 species